ACUUAUAGCUAGGCCGACACCCCUUUAGCCCUAAGUCUUUACUUUAACUUUGUACUUCUUCUGACACAUUGCAUCUAAAAUUUCAUCCACACAAAGUUCUCUCCUUCAAAAUCUUCUCUCCUCGAAUACACAUCUAAAAUCUUCUUCUUCAUGGAUCUUCAGCGAUCCAGGUUUGUUUCCUUUAUUUCUAUUGUACAAUCAGUAUUCAAUUUUUAGUGUUUUUUUCGACUUUGUUUUUGCUAGUAAGAUUAUCCUGAUCCUGAUUGUAUUUUUCUAUGUUUGGUCAUCUUUACAGAUUUUUCAUGGAUCUUGAAGUUUUGUUCCAGAAUCCAGGUAAAAAAAUUCUCUCCUCUUUAUGGAUACACAGAUCUAAAAUCUCCCCUUCUUCGUGGAUACAUAGAUCCAGAAAAGAAAAAAAACCAAUCUUGAAUCACUGGUUAUGUUGUUGUAAUUUCAAUCUUUGAGUAAUCAAUGUUUGUUUUUAUAGUUGAAGCAAUCAAGAUUCAAUUUUUAUUGCUUUUUAAAGUUACUUCCAGAUCUUGUUUGUUUUAUAGAUAUAAGCUUAAAAACUGAAAUCCAAUUUCAUUGCUCUUAGACACGCCCUUAAGUUCUAACCAUAUCUGUAUCAUUCUAUUGGGCAUAGUCUGUUCCAGUAUAAACAGUUUGGCUUCAGGUUUCUCCUCAUCUAGUGCUUCUCCUAAAGCUAAUCUAGGCUUCUCCUAAAGGUUUUUUCUAUGUUCAUCUCUACAGGUUUUUCAUGUUAUCACAAACCUGGAUCUGAAACUUUGUUCCUUUUCAUGGAUACAGAUCUAAUAUAUCUCCCACUCUUCAAGGAUACAUGAUUCAUAGAUCAUAAUGGUAAGUUUUCUUGUCUAAUCUUAACUCUGUAUUUAUAUUAAAACAUUCGUUCAGUAUGUACAAAGAAGUGGUUUUUAUGAGUCAUUUGUCCAUAAAAUUUAUUAGCAAAUGAAUGUCUUUGAAUUAAUUAGACCACAUCCUAUUGGGACUUAAUUCUGUUCCAGCAUACUAUUUGUCUUCAGGUUUCUCCUAAAAGCCUCGGAAAAGCCACAGGUUCUCCCAAUCUCACAUACAUUCCUAAUAGCAUGUAGCAGUAAUCUCAUCUAAUAUGUUUUGCCUGUACUGUCAUGUUCUCUAGAGGUUGUAAGGUUGUAGGUUUCGAGAAAUAACGCCAGGAAGAUUAUCUGAUACUGAUUGUUAUUAGCUAUGUUCAUCUCUACAAUUUUUCAUGAUACCACAAACCUGAAUCUGAAAUUAUGUUCCUUUUCAUGGAUACAGAUCUAAUAUCUCCCACUCUUCACUGAUACAUGAUUCAUAUAUCAUAAUGGCUAGUUUUCUUGUCUAAUCUUCAACUCUGUAUUUAUAUCAAAAGAUUCAUUCAGUAGGUAUAGAAGUAUGUCUUAUAACAUAAAAUUAAUUAGCCAAUGAAUGUCUUUGAAUUAAUUAUGCUUGAGCCUAAGAAUAUCUGUUUCAUUCUAUUGGAACUUGUUCUGUUCCCGCAUUCCUGCUUUCUCCUAAACCUAAAGGUUCUCCAAAUCUCACAUACUCAUUAUCUCAAUUAAUUUUGUACCGCCUUUACUUUUAUAUUCAUAAAUCUUAGCUAAAAUGCACAAAUCUUAUUCAAGUUUGUUUUUUCUUCUUUCUGUCUACAAUUUGACAUGAAAGGAAAUGUUGAUUUAGAUCAGAUCUUCUCAAGUUUUCUUGUCUAAUCUUUAACUCUGUAAUUAUAUUAAAAGAGAUAUUCAUUAUGUACAAAAUGUUGAUUCAGAAUCAGCACAAGAAUUACGGUUUAUGAAGAAGUGAAGAAAAAUGACAGAAGUCAACACCAACAACAUGCUGCCCCCAGCAUAUUAUUUCAAGCGGAUCAUCCUUUGAAUCCACACAAAUUAGCAAGAACCUCAUUCUGCAGAAAAAAUCAGAGUAGGAACACUAACCUCUCUUACUGCUGUGACCUCUGUAUGAGCUGUAGGGUCAGUAUGCUUCAAACCCAUCUUAUGGCAGCUAACAACUACUUCAUUAUUGCAAACAACAUUAUUUGUCGUUUGUCAUAAAUUAGAUAUCUCUACUUAAGCAUCAUUUGAGAAGAAAACUACUCAAGCACUGCAAUAUCAAACAAAUUCAAGCCCAAUGAAUGGGAUGAUGUACAAAUUUCAACAAGAUCUGAGUAGAUUGAACACAUUGCACUGGAAAGUUAAAAGCAUUAAUCCAAAGACAUCACGACAGAAUUACCGGAUAAAGCAUAGGUUUUGUUAUUACUUCAUUGAAAAUCUCCCAUCAUAAUCCUGAUAACUACUUCAUAGAAACAUCCCCAUCAAUCUUGGCCACUAGACAGUGGUAUUGUUCCCUCCCUUGCCACCAUUUUUUCCUUGCUUGUCAUUCUUUCCUCCCUUGGUAGCUGCUGCUUGAACAUCUUUGUCAUGUCGUGCCUGAAAGUACAUGUAUAAAAAACAGGGAAGUUCUAUAAUCCAAUAAAACAAUUGCAUCAUUACUGUACCUUAGUUCCUUUCUUGCACUUGGAAACAUGGUCCAUCAAAAUACUCACCCAGCCUGCUUCAGUUGGAACAGUAAAUCCGCAUGUUGCACAAACAUUACUCAUAUCUGAAACAGGAAAUUUGUACAAUUUGUCCAUUCAUCGAGGAAAGAAAAAAAUUACAUCCUGGAACUAGGAAUAUGAAUGUAAACAGCAAAUGCUCCCAGUACAAAAGCAUUAGGUUAAUCUUUUUUCCCCCAAUUUAUGGGACUCCCAGUUUACCAUUUAAAUAAGUAAAGAUCUAUGGAACUCCCAAUUUACCAUUUGAAUCAAUUGACUACAAUCAAGCUUAAAUAGAUCAAUUGAACUCCCAAUUUACCAUUUAAAUCAAUCGAACUACAAUUACAAAAAAUAGAUCUGUGAAGAUAUCUUCACAGAUAUCUUUACUUAUUUAGAAAAGAUCUAUGGAACUCCCAAUUUACCAUUUGAAUCAAUUGACUACAAUCAAGCUUAAAUAGAUCAAUUGAACUCCCCAAUUUUACCAUUUAAAUCAAUCGAACUACAAUUACAAAAAAUAGAUCUGUGAAGAUAUCUUUACUUAUUUAGAAUUAAGCUAAAUAGAUCGAAGACGACGAUCCUUACUGAUUCAGAAUCAAGCUAAUUAGUUCGAAGAAGACGAUCCUUACUGAUUGGAAUCUUUAGCUGAUCGAUAGGCAAAGAGGAUGAAACUUGAUUCGUGACCCCUCGAAGAACUUCUCUUCUCGCUGAAUCGUCUUGUUUGAUGAUGAUUUAUGACCCUGAGAGAUACAUGGAAAUAGAGUAUUUUAACUCAAAGUCACUCAACUAAUAGUUAUUUACACCGAAAGUCACUUAACUUUCUUUUAUUAUCUCAAAGUCAUUUAACUAUAUGAAUAUUUUAUCUGUCACUUAACUAUUGUUAUUUUAUUUUAAAAAUCACCUAACCAAUUUAAAUAUUUUUUCAUUAAAUUUAGCUGAAAUACUAUUACUAUUUAACUAUUUUUUUAAAUAAUAAAAUAUUCAUUUAAGUUUUAUUGAUAUACAAUUUUUAAGUUUAACCAAUCUCUUUAAAGAGAUGAUAACUAUUAAUACAAAAACAAUAAGGUUCAGGCUGUAGCGUUUUUUUAAAGAAAUUGAAAAUGAUGCAUUCCAUUAGCAUACACCAUUACUAGAGCUGGAAGCAUUACAUUAUUUUUUUUAAAAUUAAAAUAAAACUUGUAUUCCAACAAAAUUUAAUAAAACAAUUCAAAUAAGUAUUUUAGUAUUUCUAAAGAAAUUAGUCCAAAAAAAAAUUAUGUUUCAAUAAAAUAACUAAAAUGAGCAUCUUAUUUUUUUUUAAAAUAAAUUAGUUUAAAACAAAAACUUUAGUUAAAUAAAAUUUAAUAAAAUAUAAAAAUGAGCAUCUUAUUUUUUUUUUUAAAAUAAUUGAAAACAAAAACUGUAUUUAAAAAAAUGUAAUUGGUGGGCUGACUUUCUAAAUGAAAUAUCAAUUGUUGGAUGACUUUGUAGGUAGAAUAUUCAUAGUUAAGCGACUUUGAGGUUAUAAAAGAAAGUUAAGUGACUUUAUGCGAAAGAAACUAUUUGUUGGGUAGCUUUCUAUGAAAGAAAUAUUAGUUGAGUGACUUUAAGGUUAAAAAGAAAGUCGAGUGACUUUCUAUGAAAAAUAUAUGGUCAUUGUAUACGUUAGAGUGUUCACUGAUAAUUGAGAUCAAAUUAUAGUGUCUAUCUACGUUGUAAGUUACAACCAGUAUUUCAAAAGGCUGGGACGUGAGACGGGCGUUUGGAUUAGAAAGCGUAUAAUUUAGAAUAAGCAAAAGAAGCGAACAUGGCAAUAUAAAAUUUCGUACUUGGCUUUAUUUUGUGUAAAUGCGAAUACUGAAAAGCAGACUACAUGUUCAAAUCUUUGUUUAAAAGAAAAAAAAAAUAUUACAUUUGGUUGGCCAGGUAAUGUGUUUACAUGUAACGAAUCUUUACACGGAACAUAUUCUCACAAGUUAAAGGUUUCAAAAUAUCUUUUUAGCCUAUACACCUUAUUUUUUUUAGCAACUUUCGCAUAUAGCUACUUAAAAAUAGUCUAAUUAUACUUCAUAGUUAUAGAUUGCUAAUUACGAUUCGUAGCUACAUGUUAUAGGGAGGAGAGUAGUGAGCGAGAUUGGGAGAGGGAGGAGAGAGGCGAAUUGUAUAUGUAUAUCGGUUAGAUAAUUGUAUAUUAUACAUAUGUAUUUGUAUAUAUGGCAAGUGAGAUUGGGAAAGGGAGGAGAGAGGUGAGCGAGAUUGGGAGAGGGAGGAAAAAUGCGAGUGAGAGAUGGCAAUAAUUUGUAUAAUUCGCAUAUAGUUUAUAUAAUUUGCGGAUAUGUUUGUAUAAUUCACGUGUUUUUGUAUAAUUGAGUAAUAUAAAGUCUAGAAUUAUACAAAUAUAAUAAAACUCGAAAUAACGAAUUGAUACAAACAUAAACAUACAGUUAUACAAAA
rnacentral:lncRNA from 1 species